GAUGAACGCUGGCGGCGUGCCUAAUACAUGCAAGUCGAGCGAACGGACAAGAAGCUUGCUUCUCUGAUGUUAGCGGCGGACGGGUGAGUAACACGUGGAUAACCUACCUAUAAGACUGGGAUAACUUCGGGAAACCGGAGCUAAUACCGGAUAAUAUUUUGAACCGCAUGGUUCAAAAGUGAAAGACGGUCUUGCUGUCACUUAUAGAUGGAUCCGCGCUGCAUUAGCUUGUUGGUAAGGUAACGGCUUACCAAGGCAACGAUGCAUAGCCGACCUGAGAGGGGGACCGCCCCACUGGGACAUGGGCACGGGCCCGGAUCCCCAGGGGGGGAAGAAGGAGGGAAUUUUCCGAAAGGGGCGAAACCCGGAAGGGGCAACCCCGCGUGGGGAAAGAAGUGUUUCGGACCGUAAACCUCUUUUAUUAGGGAAAAAAAUAUGUUUAAGUAACUUGGCAAAUUUUGGCGGUACCUAAUAAAAAAGCCACGGCAACCUGCGC
rnacentral:rRNA from 1 species